rnacentral:rRNA from 1 species
CCUACGGGUGGCAGCAGUGGGGAAUCUUGCGCAAUGGGCGAAAGCCUGCCGCAGCGACGCCGCGUGAGGGAUGAAGGUCUUCGGAUCGUAAACCUCUGUCAGCAGGGAAGAACGGUCACUGUGCUAAUCAGCAGUGAAUUGACGGUACCUGCAAAGGAAGCACCGGCUAACUCCGUGCCAGCAGCCGCGGUAAUACGGAGGGUGCGAGCGUUAAUCGGAAUUACUGGGCGUAAAGCGCUCGUAGGCGGUAUGUCAAGUCAAGGGUGAAAUCCCCGCGCUCAACGUGGGAACUGCCUUUGAAACUGGCAAACUGGAGUGUGUGAGAGGAUAGUGGAAUGCCAGGUGUAGGAGUGAAAGCCGUAGAUAUCUGGAGGAACAUCAGUGGCGAAGGCGACUAUCUGGCACAUAACUGACGCUGAGGAGCGAAAGCGUGGGUAGCAAACAGGAUUAGAUACCCUAGUAGUC